rnacentral:lncRNA from 1 species
AGACAUUCCAACAAUCUCGCUCCUCCCGCACCUUGGCUCGGUCAUGAGCUUGGGGACAAUCGAAACCCUAGCCACCAUCGCCUCCUCCGUCCUCUGGGUCCUCCCUAGCCGGCGUCGCCUCUUCCCUCCUCUCUCCUCCCCUAGCCAUCGACGCAUCCUCCCUCCUCCCCUCUAUGCCUCGUCAUGUUGCACGAGCGCACCUGAAUCUGCGGGAGAAAUGGCGUGCGGCCCUUCCCGGUGGUGUUGCGCCGUGGUCGCCUCUGCUCCCGCUCGUGGCUCUACGACGACGUUGGGGCUUGCCACACCGCUGGGACAUUCUGCUCCCACCUGGUGCCUCCGUGAGAUCGAAGGACCCAUGCUAGCACUGCCAGAUCCGCUCACCUGAUGAUCGGGUUCAUGCGGACAUGGUUGGAUCUGCUCGCUUUUAGGUCGAAGUGCCCGGCUGUGAGUUUGGGGACAGUGGCAAGAUCUAGCGUGUAUUGUUUUUGUUUUUUUGUUGGCAUCCUCUUUAACAAUGAUGUUAGUAUAUGCAUGAGAAGUCAUGUUAGUGUAUAUGACUCUCUUCUGUUGUAUGCUUGCUGGAACUUUUGUUUGUGAUUUCAUGUCUCCAAACAGCAGUAUCACUGAAUGGAUAUGGAAUAGUGAAUAUGUAGGUAUGUAUAUGAUAUUCUCCAAGUGGACUCUGCUUAUGCUCCUGACAAAACCAGCUUCCUUUGAUUUUGAUUUUGAUUUAUGAAUACAGGACGAUUCGUACGUUGACACCUACAAGGGUUGUCAUAGAGGAAGGAACAAGCACCUUUACUGAGAGGUGAGCAAAAGUUCCUCGUAUAUGGUGUCUUAUUGGUCCCAUUGUGCCAUUUAGAAUGAAAUCUUUUAAAAAAAUACUCUAGGGAACAGGGAGCAUAAGAAAUUGCUAGCAAAAUCAUGCAUUCAUUUUUUUUUUUGCUAUUGUUUACAGAUUUUGAUCAGAUAAUAAUGAUACAAGCAAGAGGAGUGGAAGCGGCAAUGCAAAAAUAAGAAAAAUGUAAAUGUGGCACAUUCAGCACAUUGCUAAUUGAGCUUUGACUUCUGAACUUAUAACUGACAGUCUUAUGGUGUUGUGAGAAAUGGCUCUGUACCAUGCCACGGUGUCAUGUUCUUUAGGUAAACUCAAAAUUCUUUCUAUUGAGUGCAUGAUUUUUUUUAAUUGAUGUAUAUUAUCAUGGCCAAUGUUUUCUGGUCGGCUGGUCGAUCCUGGUCGACCUGGGACCGACCAGGCGAUUAAUCAGCGACCAGGUCGAUUAAUCGACCCUGGUCGUCCCUGGUCGUCCAGGCAUAUCAGCUGGUCGACCUAUAUAUAUACCUCUAUAUAUACACUAUAUUAUACACAAUAUAUGAAGCAUCAAGACUGCAUUACUGUAAACCAACAUUCCUCUUCAUCUUCAACUCUUUUUUAUGUAAACCAACAUCUCCUUCUUAACUAUUUCUGGAGAACUGGGACAACCAACAGCAUCUCCAUACCCCCCACAUAUCUGCCUUGUCAAAAAAGCCCAAAAACAGAGCACACAACCUGGUCGUCCAUGUCCUAAUCGAACGAUUAAUCGCGAUAAGUGGACGACUAAUCGGACGACCAGGUUUCUGGUCGACCUGGUCGGGUCAGACCUCCUAAUCGAGCACUCCUGACCGACCAGGAUGAUUAAUCGGACGACCUGAAAACAUUGAUCAUGGGCACAAAAUCACUACAGAUCCUUGCCAUUUUGGUAGCAGUCUGCCAAGGUAGGAGCGGCGUGGAAAGUCUUUCCCCCCUUCUUGUCAUUGCCUUGUUCCUCUGUUGCACUGAAUAGUAGCUCACUGCUGAGCUUGCCUAGGCUGAUGUGGGCUUGGAGAUCACCAACCCAAGGUCAGCUUGCCUUGUGGUCAUUGCCAUAUAAUUUCACUGUAUUUGCUUUGCAAAAGAUUUGUCAGUAGAACAUUAUAUACAUGUCCCUGUGGACAUGUUUCCACCUGUUUGAAUCCAAAGUUGGUUGUGGUCUUGGUUAGGAUAAUAUAUUAUAAGUCUUUAAUGCUAUUGAACCUAUGAGACAGCACAUGAUUGAUUGUAAUACUUCAUUAAUCUUCUUUGAAUUUUUGACAACUAAUUAAGAAUAGAAAACCACUUGGUUUUGAGAAUAAAAAAAAAUCAUGUCUUCUAUGCCUUAGGUUCAGAUACGUCAGAUUUUCAACAUGCCAUUCAUGGUUAUGCAAUAGUGGUUCUUCAUACAUUCUUACAUGGGCCCUCUGAAAGUACCUACUUUUACACCCUAAGCUUCUUCUAUUGAAAAGUCUUUGGUUCUCAAUUCGAAGUAGGUAUCUGCUCGAUGCCGUGGGGUUGAUGGGUUCUUUUUCUUUCUUAUUAAUUGAUUUUGUAUUCAAUGGGUCUUUGGUCAAUAUUUUCUGAACAUUUGAGACUGAGGAAUGCAAUUCCCAUAUAUUCUUGGGCAAAAUGAAUCUAGCUUUUGGUUGCUGGGUUCACUGUCUAAGACUGUAGCUUUUAUUUGUGAAAUUUAGUAACGUAUGAUCUGCCUCUUUCUCAGAUCAGUACAUAGUUUAGAGAUCCAUCAUAUGACACUAUACCUGCAUAAUGAUUAAUAUUAAGCAUGGACCGGGUAGGCAUACUUCCUACUAACUAAACACGUUAAAGGAUCUAGAAAAGUUUAGCUGAAGCUAACACCGUAAAAAAAACUCAGGCAAAUAACAGAAACUGAUACUGUUCUCUAUCCAGUAAGGAAAUUUUCUUGGUUAAUUUUCAGGUCACUCCUAGCUGCAUAAAAAGGGAUUGUGUCUAAACCAUGCUGCUAGCUAAAGCCUGAGGUUAGUCUCAUUGCCUCAUACAACUGUUGUGUGCUUGAUGGUUACCUUGUGCAUUUUGUUUGGUGCUUUAAAUAUACUCCCUGAUUAGAAGGCAUGGAGUAAUACAUAGUGCGAGCGGAUGUUCUUCGUAUUAUUUAG